rnacentral:precursor_RNA from 1 species
AACCCCAGCUUAGGAAACAGGGUUGUUCUUCAUGUGGAUGACUCUGUGCCGAAAGCAUGGGGACAGCU